rfam:Myotis brandtii contig208617, whole genome shotgun sequence.
GGCAGUUCUCAGGUGAUGAACGCCGGAAUUGGGCUCCCUCCUCUCUGGUUCUGGGUGUGUCACCCAGAAUCGCA